UGGGGUUUCACCAUCUUGGCCAAGAUGGUCUUGAACUCCUGACCUCAUGAUCCACCCACCUUGGUCUCCCAAAGUGCUGGGAUUACAGGCGUGAGCCACUGAGCCUGGCCCAACAAUGAAGCUUUUUAAACAGAGUAGUUUGAGCUAAACUGGGGUCUUGAGAAACUUGUGACAAUGACUAGUGAAAAGUCUCAGAGAUAAUGGCAAGGAAAUGGUAAUAGAGUUAGUGAUAAAAGUGUUGGAAGAAAUUUCUGAGCUGCAAUUAAUAAAAUUAGGUGACCAAUGAGAUGUUCAGAGUAUGGAAGGGAGUUAUUCAGGAUAACUCUAAUAUUUCUGGAGCACCAACAAGAUUUGUAGUUGGCAGUAUGGGAACAUGAAGGGCAGCUUGUGGCCUGUGUUUGAAAUGUGUUGUUGAAGGUGCCUGCUGGACAUAGGGGCACUCUACAUGUGUCCCAUAGUUAGAGAAGAAGGCAGUGAAGUGGAAGAAAUGGAAGACACAAGAGAGAAAGAGAUGAUAAGUGAGGUGUUAGAGGAGGCACGAAGGAAGGGGAUCCAGGGCACAUGGUACAGGGCUAGCCUUGGAGAGCAGAAGGGAGAAAGCUCCAACAUUACUGAGUAUCUGCCAUGUGCCAGGCACUGAGGAUACGUUUUUUUAUUUAAUUCUUAUGAAUAAAUAUACGGUGGUAAGGUGCUAUUAGCCUCAUGUAAUUGGUGUGGAAAUUAGGCUCAGAAUGGUUAAAUGUCUUCUUAGGAUCACUCAGUGAGUAAGUAACAGACCUGUAUUUCCAAAAUUCUGAUCCAGCUCUUCUUGGAGAGUACAAUAAGGAGUCUAACUCCAUUGUGAUUGUUGAUAGUUUUUUUUUUUUUGGACAGGGCCACACUCUGUCGCCCAGCCUGGAGUACAGUGGCACAAUCACAGCUCACUGCAGCCUUGACUCCUCAAGCUCAAGUGAUUCUCCUACUUCAGUCCCCAGAGUAGCUGGGACUAUAGCCAGUUUCAGACAUUGGAAGCCGGACCUGCUCUGCCCAGAAAGCCUCAUUAUGUGAGUAAUCAAUCUUUUCAUACUCUUGGUGCAUGCGUGUCAGCCUCAUUCUCAAUAUUUAAACCAAAUUUUGGGUAGAAGCGUCUUCUGUGGGGCAACCACAACAGUUGACCCUGUGAGCAGGCUGUCUAGGAGAUGACCACUAGCACCAAAGGUCUUCCUUCUCUUCUUGCAGAAGAGAGCCAUGCCAUUUCUUCCUCUGAGACACAAACUGAAGAGGGAAAGAUGGACAUAGUAAUGCACACAUUUAAAGAUGUAAUGGUGCAAGAGACAGGGUUGUUGGAGAAAAAGAGGAGAGAGGUGUUCUGCUGUGGUGGUGAGGCUUGUGUACUUGCUGGGGGAGAGGCCAAAGAGAAUGCACUCAGAAGGAAUUAGAAGACUGCUGGGUGACACUGUGGGUCACCCGCACAGUCAUGGUGGCUCUAAUUUGCAUGAAUUAAGUAGUUUUUUAUCUAGCAGUGGACUGCAUCCUGGGAAAAAUCUGCAUAUAAUUUUGGGAUAUUCAUAAACCUGCUGAACUCCAACUAGGGGAUCAAGAACUCAGGGUUAAAAGUUUCUCUGACUGAGUGGUCUCAAUGAAGAUGGACAGGCUUGGUUGGAAGAAGAUGAUGGUGGAAGUAGGUGAUUACAAUUAAGGCAUGGGGCUUUAAAGUUUGCAGACACAGGGGCUAUCUCCAGGUAUGGUCAUUUCUUCUGAGUCACUUCUUUUUGGCUGCUCCCCCAGCAAGUGUAUAAACCUCACCAUCCUGCCAAAGCCCACCAGACCACCACACUCCUCUUUCCCUCCAACAACCCUGUCUCCUGCACUACUAACUCCUUAUGUUUGUGUAUUAAUGUGCCCAUCUUUCCCUCUGCAGCUCAGAGGAGGAAAUAUUGUGUCUCUCCCUUGCAGGAAGAGAAGGAAGUACCCAGCACCCCAGGAGUCAAGUGUUAGCUGACCCAAUUAUUCACAUGUUGAAGACAGGCAAUGGCAAAAAUUGGAAUGGAAAAAAAAAAGAGACCCAAAUCCUCUAUGACGCCAGGAGGUAAUGAUGGAGCAGUGGUGAGAACCACUGAAUGCCACAGGCCUCAAAGGAAGAAAAAAGAGCUUUUGAAUGAGGCAAACUGCUGCAUGGAUAAGAGGCAGUCUGGCCGCAUGAGAAGGUUAAUCCUUGAGCAUCCUUCUCUUGGGAUUUUCUCUGGGAAAAUCCCAGUUUCACUUCCAGGAAGGUGUAUUAGUUUCUUAGGGCUGCUAUAACAAAGUACCACAAACUCAGUGGCUUAAAACAAGAGAAAUGUAUUCUUUCCCAGUUCUGGAAACUGAAAGUUUGAGAUUAAGUGUUGGCAGAGCCAUGUUUGCUCUGAAGGCUCUAGGGAAGAACCCUUCCUUUUCAUGUCCUGGCUUCUGGUGAUGUCGGCAAUCCUUGCAUUCCUUGACUUGUAGCUAUAUUGCUCCAGUCUCUGCCUCCAUUCUCUUCCCUGUGUCCCCUCUGUGUCUUCAAAUCUCUCUCUCCUUGAAAGGACACUAGCCAUUGGAUUUAAGGCCAUCCUAGUUAAGAAUGACCUCAUCUCAACUUGAUUACAUCUGCAAAGGCCCUAUUUCAAAAUUCAGUUACAUUCAAAUAGACUGGGGUGAGGAUGUCAAAAUAUCUUUUUGGGGGACACAAUUCAACCUACAGCAGAAAGGAAUAGAAGCAACAUUGUGUGAUCAGGCUGAAGGAGAGAUGAAUUAUUUAUAAUCGAGUGAGGACUUCAUAGAAUUAAACAGAAAGGAUUAGACAUGGGUUAUCAAGAGAUGACUGUCAAAAGGCAGGAAGCUUGGAAGAGAUAGUUGUAGCACUGAUGCUUAUAAAGCAGAGAUCUGAAAGUUGAAGGUCCCAGGGAAAAGCCAGAUGAUGUCAAUGAGUGAAACAUCCUGCAUGGGGUGUGUAGUGAAAUCUGAAAGCAGCCACUGCUCAGCUCCAGCUGGUUGCUGUCACAAGAGAAUAGACCCCAUGUUGUCAGAUUUUUCAAAAAUAAGCAGUACACUCAGAUUAUGUGGCAUCUCCUGAAUUUAAAAUGAUGACAGCUAGUUACACAUGUUGAUGAACUGUAGAGACUACAAACCCUGAUGCUGGCUGGAUUUGUACCAUGGAUGGUCAAGGAUCACAUAGCUAGGAGAGGCAGGGUAUACAGGACAGGCAGGGUAUACAGGACAGGCAGGCAGGAUAAAAAUGGAAUGCACAGCUCAGUGUUCUCAUUGGCAUGCCACUGGUCUCCCUGGUCAUAUGGAAAGCUGUUAGGAUGCAGAGUCUAAGCCCUGGUGGUUUCUGCUGAGCAGGCUGCCG
rnacentral:lncRNA from 1 species